UCCGUAGGUGAACCUGCGGAAGGAUCAUUACAGAAUGAAAAGUGCUUAACUGCAUUUUUUCUUACACAUGUGUUUUUCUCUUUUUGAAAACUUUGCUUUGGUAGGCCUUCUAUAUGGGGCCUGCCAGAGAUUAAACUCAACCAAAUUUUAUUUAAUGUCAACCGAUUAUUUAAUAGUCAAAACUUUCAACAACGGAUCUCUUGGUUCUCGCAUCGAUGAAGAACGCAGCGAAAUGCGAUAAGUAAUAUGAAUUGCAGAUAUUCGUGAAUCAUCGAAUCUUUGAACGCACAUUGCGCCCUUUGGUAUUCCAAAGGGCAUGCCUGUUUGAGCGUCAUUUCUCCCUCAAACCCUCGGGUUUGGUGUUGAGCGAUACGCUGGGUUUGCUUGAAAGAAAGGCGGAGUAUAAACUAAUGGAUAGGUUUUUUCCACUCAUUGGUACAAACUCCAAAACUUCUUCCAAAUUCGACCUCAAAUCAGGUAGGACUACCCGCUGAACUUAAGCAUAUCAAUAAGCGGAGGAAAAG
rnacentral:rRNA from 1 species